ACAGAAAGCGGGCAUCUGCCCGCAAAACUGGCGGAGGACCACCCCCACCACGUCUGACCGAGGCAGAGGAGCUGGCCAUGAGUCAGACUGUCGGGAGGCCAGUCGCAGAGGGGAUCCCUGGAGGAACCUCAUCCUCGGACAUGAUUACACAGGAGCCACCAGCCUUGAUAAGAUGCAAUAGGCCUAGGCCUCAAACUUCUUUUGGGCCUAUAGUUCAAUGUUAAUUUCCCUUUCAUGUGUUUUUCUUUUGUCUCAACAGAUUCUGAAGGCGUACUUGGUCUAGUGGAUCCAUGUGCCACUUGAACUGAUGAUGAAGAUGAUGGGACCACAAUGUCUGCUGCCUUCUCUGUGGUGUCUGAGAGGGAGCCUGAGAGGCCUACAGAGAGCAUGGCUGGGCAGCAGGAAGAGGGUCCCUCAACCUCCACAGCACAGAUUGACACAGUGAGAUAUUCAGUAAAUUCCAGAGGUUAAUUCAGUGGAAUUCAUGUGCAACUGUAUAAUGUCAUCCUUAUGUGUUCCCAGCUACCACUAAAAGAAAUCUACAAAGUGCAUUUAUUAAAAACAGUACAAAAAAACAGAAAAAUAAAUGGUGCUGCUGGACCGCCAGAUAACUAAAACGGAUCUGGAAAUUGAAUUAUUAAAACACAAGUUAGAGGUGGGUGCAUGGUCAUAGGUGAAUUGUGUUGAUG